rnacentral:rRNA from 1 species
GACGAACGCUGGCGGCGUGCCUAAUACAUGCAAGUAGAACGCUGAAGAGAGGAGCUUGCUCUUCUUGGAUGAGUUGCGAACGGGUGAGUAACGCGUAGGUAACCUGCCUGGUAGCGGGGAUAACUAUUGGAAACGAUAGCUAAUACCGCAUAAAAUGGAUUAUCGCAUGAUAAUCCAUUGAAAGGUGCAAAUGCAUCACUACCAGAUGGACCUGCGUUGUAUUAGCUAGUUGGUGGGGUAACGGCUCACCAAGGCGACGAUACAUAGCCGACCUGAGAGGGUGAUCGGCCACACUGGGACUGAGACACGGCCCAGACUCCUACGGGAGGCAGCAGUAGGGAAUCUUCGGCAAUGGACGGAAGUCUGACCGAGCAACGCCGCGUGAGUGAAGAAGGUUUUCGGAUCGUAAAGCUCUGUUGUAAGAGAAGAACGAGUGUGAGAGUGGAAAGUUCACACUGUGACGGUAUCUUACCAGAAAGGGACGGCUAACUACGUG